rnacentral:rRNA from 1 species
GACGAAGGUGGCGACCGUUGUUCGGAAUUACUGGGCAUAAAGCGCACGUAGGCGGCAAUGUAAGUCAGGUGUGAAAUCCCCUGGCCCAACCGGGGAAUUGCGCUUGAUACUGUGUUGCUUGAGGGCAGGAGGGGACCGUGGAAUUCCUGGUGGAGCGGUGAAAUGCGUUGAUAUCAGGAGGAACACCGGCGGCGAAGGCGACGGUCUGGCCUGCUUCUGACGCUGAGGUGCGAAAGCCAGGGGAGCAAAC